rnacentral:rRNA from 1 species
CAGUAGCCGCGGUAAUACGAAGGGUGCAAGCGUUAAUCGGAAUUACUGGGCGUAAAGCGUGCGUAGGCGGCUUCUUAAGUCGGAUGUGAAAUCCCUGAGCUUAACUUAGGAAUUGCAUUCGAUACUGGGAAGCUAGAGUAUGGGAGAGGAUGGUAGAAUUCCAGGUGUAGCGGUGAAAUGCGUAGAGAUCUGGAGGAAUACCGAUGGCGAAGGCAGCCAUCUGGCCUAAUACUGACGCUGAGGUACGAAAGCAUGGGGAGCAAACAGGAUUAGAUACCCCAGUAGUCCCUGUCUCUUAUAC